rnacentral:lncRNA from 10 species
GUCUGUGCCUCGUAUAAAUAUUAUCUUCCUACUCCUCGUAACACACCUUUUAUGAGGGAGGAAACUAUUAUCCCAAUUUUCUUUUCUUUUCUUUUUUUUUUUUUUUUUUUUUUUGAGACGGAGUCUCGCUCUGUCGCCUAAGCUGGAGUGCAGUGGAGCGAUCUCCGCUCACUGCAACCUCUGCCUCCCGGAUUCAAGCGAUUCUCCUGCCUCAGCCUCCCGAGUAGCUGGGACUACAGGCACGUGUCACCAUGCCUGGCUAAUUUUUUGUAUUUUAGUAGAGACGGGGUUUCACCGUAUUAGCCAGGAUGGUCUUGAUCUCCUGACCUCAUGAUCCACCUGCCUCGGCCUCCCAAAGUGUUGGGAUUACAGGCGUGAGCCACCACCCCCGGCCUAUUAUCCCCAUUUUAUAUACAAGGCAACCAAGUUCAGAGAGGUUAAGUCUGAGGUCGCAGAGUGACUAGCAGAGUGGAGGAUUCAAACCGAUGCCAGAGGGUUGGAGGAUUUCACCACCCAUAACCUCCAGCAGCAGUUGGCAGCCCACUCCAGAGAAACACACGCCGUAAGUCCCUCCCUGAGGAAAUCCCCAUCAUGACAAGCACUCAGAGAAGUUGGUUGGUACAGAGUUUCUCUGCUGGUUACCCCAGGUGUGGUGUGGACCCCAGAAGGAUGACAGUUUGAAUCCAAGGGCAGUCCCCUUCCUGGCACAGCAAGCAAAAUAAAGUGAAGCCCCUGGAGGCUCAGGCUCCACAGCAAGACCACAGAGAAGACCAGCCCUCUCCCAUUGCCACAAAGACAAGAGAUAGCUUGAAAGAAGACAGCUAAAAGUGGAGACUCAGACCCUGCCCUGGAGGGACAGUUGAAGUUCAGCUGGAGGGUGCAGUGAUGAACAACCCCAUGGCCCAGACAGGUGGGGACCAAGCCCCUCACUCACGCGUGUUCCUGGCCGCCGUGCUCCAGGCGGUAGCGCACGAGUCCCAGGAGGCGGCUCUGCCGGCUGUCCCCCUCACACAGCACACCUUGCACCGCCUGCGGCUCAGAGUCAAGGGAAGACAACCCAGAGGCGAGGCCUCUCCCCACCCAGGCUGUCCCACCUUCCCUCUGUUCCCCUGCCCCCCCAGAUUCACUGUGUGGCCUUGGGUGAGCACUCAAACCAUGUGCUGAACUAACAGACAAACAGGCUCUCUAAGCCUUCCUUAUCUAUGAAAUGAGGAUAAUAAUCCCCAACUUCAUAGGGAGUUAGGAGGAUAACUGCGUAUUUAAAGCAUUUGGCUGAGAGUCCA